CCGGAGUGAGGCUUUGCUUGCGUUGAUGUCGUAGUAGUUCUGUUUGGAUAGUGUUUUUGGAUCGGCCGCCCUGUGGGUGGUGUGCGGUGUAGUUUGGGUACAGGUUGGAUUGGCCAGUUGGCGGUCCGUUGAGAUUCGGUUAGUAUGAUUGAGUGGUAGCUAGUGAUACAUUUAUAUGUCUACAGAGAGUAUGGUUUGGAUAGCGGUAGUCUAGUGAUAUAUAGCUGUACAGUUUCUU
rnacentral:lncRNA from 1 species